rnacentral:rRNA from 1 species
GUGUCCUAUGGGACGCAGCAGUGGGGAAUAUUGCACAAUGGGCGAAAGCCUGAUGCAGCAACGCCGCGUGAAGGAAGAAGGGUUUCGGCUCGUAAACUUCUAUCAACAGGGACGAAAGAAAUGACGGUACCUGAAUAAGAAGCCCCGGCUAACUACGUGCCAGCAGCCGCGGUAAUACGUAGGGGGCAAGCGUUAUCCGGAAUUACUGGGUGUAAAGGGUGAGUAGGCGGCAUGGUAAGCCCGAUGUGAAAGCCUUGGGCUUAACCCGAGGAUUGCCUUUGGAACUAUCAAGCUAGAGUACAGGG